ACAGGGCUUUGCUACCCACAGACGAUGUCUUACGGGGAAGAAUGUAAGAUGAACACAUUUGCAUUGAGUAAUUCUGCUGGCAUAGCUAUGUCCACAAGAGCCAGCCUUUCCCGGGGAGCCCAGUUUUUCUCAAGAUACCUGUCAUUUCAGCCAUGUGAGACUGUGGAAUACCCAUCACGUGGAAGCAGGCUUCCAUCUGCUGUGUUACCAGGGGCUUCGUGGGUGCCAUGAAAACCACCUUGCCAGAAGGGAACCAGCGGUAGAAAUUAUACAUGACCACGGCGGCAAUGAAGGUCUUCCCCAGCCCGGUGGGCAGGCACACCAGGGUGUUGCAGAACAGCGCGCUCCGGGAGAUGUCCAGCUGGUAGUCGCGCACGGGGCAAUUGGUGGGGUAGAUCCACAGGGCUCCCGCAGCCGCGCAGAAGCCGCCAUCCCCGGGAUCCAGCUGCCGCUCAGCCUCGUACGCCGCCACCAGCAGCACCUCGUCGUCCUCCUCCGGCAGCGCCUCCGCCAUCGCGGGCGAGCGCGGCUGGCCGCAUCCCGAGUCUCCGGAGCCCCGCACGAGGCUCGGGCCCCACGUCUGGAAGAGCGUUCUCUGCCGUCCGCUCAUGGUGCCCAGCAGCAGCGGAGCUCCGCUGAGGAACCCGCCUGGAUGGCAGCGCAACCGCCGCGACUCGGACGCCCAUUAGUCUCCCGCCAGCGACACAGUGGGUCCCGGGGGCGGGACUGGCGGGUUAAAGAACCCGCCGCCGAUUUUGCGGCGGGAAGAUGAUUGGUUGCCAUUCCGGAAAUCAGAAGAAGCGCAUGCGUAUUGCGCGAAGUGUGUGACGGGCUGGGGGCGGGUGUCUGGAUUUAGCAUCUUUGCAAGUUUUGCUGUGUUUUGUUUGUUUUCGUUUUGUUACCCUUCCCAUCCCUCGAGCGGGCUUGAAGGCAAUCUCAAACCUGGAGCGGUGGCUCUGGCCUGAGGAGGAGUCUGGAGAAUCAGGUCUAGGUCAUCCUUGACGUCCAGAGUUUCCAGGUCAAAAUUAACAUAAGUAAAUAGAAUGUAGUUUUUGCUGUGCUUUAAAUGAGCUGUCACUGCUAACGACAUACUACAUACGGGGUUAAGAUACAUAACUUCGUGACCCCAGGACAAGCAUUCAGUCAUCGUUUGUAACCGUAACAUGAUUGAAGCAAAAGUAGAGAUAAAUAAUAUUUUUCUCCAUCUAUGCUGAGAAAAUGCAGUUUUGUGUUAUACAAAUGGCAGUUUUAAUGUUUUGUCUGUCUAAAGAAUGUGCUCUGGCCCUGCAUUCAUUGAGAAACUAAAACAAAUACAUUUUUGUCGUG
rnacentral:lncRNA from 1 species